CUUUGAGAGGGAAGAUAUACUUAUGAUUGUCUUCCUUCAAUUCAAAACGAAGGCUAAAUCGAGGACGAGAUAUCGUUUCAGUCGUCAUCUUGUUCUUUUUUAAAUUGACGAUUCGAUUGUUGACUCGCCUACAU